rnacentral:rRNA from 1 species
GAUGAACGCUGGCGGCGUGCCUAAUACAUGCAAGUCGAGCGCAGGAAGCGAGGCAAAUCCUUCGGGAGGCGCCUUGUGGAAUGAGCGGCGGACGGGUGAGUAACACGUAGGCAACCUACCCAUCAGACUGGAAUAACCCCGGGAAACCGGGACUAAUGCCGGAUAACCCUUAUGGACACAAGUGCAUAAGUUGAAAGACGGUUUCGGCUGUCACUGAUGGAUGGGCCUGCGGCGCAUUAGCUAGUGGGUGGGGUAAUGGCCUACCCAGGCGACGAUGCGUAGCCGACCUGAGAGGGUGAUCGGCCACACUGGGACUGAGACACGGCCCAGACUCCUACGGGAGGCAGCAGUAGGGAAUCUUCCGCAAUGGACGCAAGUCUGACGGAGCAACGCCGCGUGAGUGAAGAAGGGUUUCGGCUCGUAAAACUCUGUUGUUAAGGAAGAACGACGGGGAUUUAACUGAUCCUCGAGUGACGGUACUUAACCAGAAAGCCACGGCUAACUACGUGCCAGCAGCCGCAGUAAAAC